GAUGAACGCUGGCGGCGUGCCUAAUACAUGCAAGUCGAGCGGACGGACGAGAAGCUCGUUUUUCUGAUGGUAGCGGCGGACGGGUGGGUAACACGUGGAUAACCUACCUAUAAGACUGGGAUAACUUCGGGAAACCGGAGCCAAUACCGGAUGAUAUUUUGAACCGCAGGGUUCAAAAGUGAAUGACGGUCUUGCUGUUAGUUGUAGAUGGUUACGCGCUGGCUUAGCUAGUUGGUAAGGUAACGGCUUACCAAGGCGACGAUGCAUAGCCGACCUGAGAGGGUGAUCGGCCACACUGGAACUGAGACACGGUCCAGACUCCUACGGGAGGCAGCAGUAGGGAAUAUUCCGCAAUGGGCGAAAGCCUGACGGAGCAACGCCGCGUGAGUGAUGAAGGUCUUCGGAUCGUAAAGCUCUGUUAUUAGGGAAGAACAUAUGUGUAAGUAGCUGUGCACGUCUUGACGGUACCUAAAGAAAAAGCAACGGCUAACUACGUG
rnacentral:rRNA from 1 species